rnacentral:lncRNA from 1 species
GUAUAGGAACGCUUUCCUUUAUUACGCUCGAUACUUCGGCCGAAGAUUCCCGAAUCAUAUCUUAGAGUAUUCAACCUCUCAGAAUGAGGAUUAGAGAUCCCUUGUUGCGCAUUCACUUGCCUCCAUGGCUAAGUGGCUUAACCCCAACUAUGUCGUGGACACCCGCGGAUGGAGUGACUUUGACAUAAUCAAAGAUCAAGAACCUAACCACAAGACAACUAUGAUGCCUCAGGUCAAAUGACUACUUACAUUAUUCCAACCAUUAGAGUUACUUGCUUGACAUAUGAGUAGACCUCCAUGCAAGUACUUUCGUUCGAUUGUGUUCAGUGAACUCAUUCCCUUAAUGAGCACCUACAUACCUGUCUUAGUGUCACUACACGAAUGGGACGAGACUUUCCAUGCUUCCAAUUGAAGCAGACAUAGUAUGUACCGGUCUAUGCAUUGUUAGUAUCCCUCCUACAAUCCUAUGACCAGGAACCUUUUGGCAUGAUGGUUAUGUGAAGAAGGUCUCUGUAGUCUAACAUCAUUAGAUUACUUCUUCCAUCAAUCUAUUGUCCAUGGAUUCACUAUUUAGGACAUAUAUCGUUUGUUGGGAUAGUCCUAAUUAGUAUCUUUGCCAUUUGAUGUACAAGAAUCAUCUAUACAUCCAUUCAUUGUCCUGUAAGGUUUCUUCCAAAGAUUGACUUUCAGGGCAUAUUUCCAACAAUCUCCCACUUGCACUAAAGUCAAUCACUAGUGUAUCUUAUACUUGCUAGUUGAGUGAGCUUAUGCUCGUAGGUUAACUUGGUUAUGUAUUAAUCCUUUUAAUUUAUAAAAGGGAUUUACUUAUCAAAUGUUUCUAAAACAUUUGAUGAUGUCUCUUUAUUGUGUUCAAAUACUUUGAUGAGACAUUGAUUCCAUAGCUUAAGCUAUCGCCCCAUUACGUCGUAGUGUCCAACUAACGACCUUAUGAUUUGGAUUCAAUCAUUGGUUCUAUAUGUUGGAAAUGUGCCCUAAAGCCAAUCAUAUGAUGAUACUUUACGGACAUUUUACAUGUUAAACUAAUCUAGUUUAACUAUAAAGGGCAAAGAUUAUUGUUUGAGCCGUCUCAUAUAAAUGUUAUAUGUUUAAACGAUAAAGUCCAAGGAAUAUGUGAUUGGAAGAAUGUAAUCUAAUGAAGUUAGAUUCAUGAGACCAUUUUUUCGUAGACACAUCCUAAAUGUUCCUGAUCAUAGGAUUGCCAAUUGGGCAUUAACAGUCCGUCAAGAUCGGUACGUGCUAUGUCUUCUCUCAGGGAGAGUGACUAGUCUCGAGUCAUUGGUGUGUGUG